CACUACUACUUCAAGAAGUUCACUAGCAAUGAACUCUACAAAAGCGAAUAUAUUUAUAACAAUAAACGUCACAAUUGUUCAAAAAGUCUUUAUCACUUGCAUCAAUAGGUCAAAUUGAUUUGUGGACACCAUUUCCAAUUGCAUUACCCGUAUUUUCCUACACAUUCAAAAUAAAAAUAAAAAUUAGAAAGAAAAAAAAAACUAUAUAUAGUAUGUAUGGAUUAUAGCAACAUGUCUUACAAAUAAUUAAUGAGAUUUAUUUCACAAAGUCAAAUACAGAAAAUGAGGUGCAAGCCAAGGGGAAGCAAACAAGUGAAUUAACAACCUACGUACAUCCCAAUAUCUCAGAAAGCUUUGCCUAGAUCGAUCUCACAAAGUCGAUAUGAGCACAUGCAUAAUAAGAGUCAGAUUUGAAAAAAACAAGAACUUCAAUGUAUCCUACACUUGAGAGAGGUCAAGGAAUAUUCCAAUUACCUUCAACUGUAGGUUUAGUACUUUAUGUAAGGGCAUAUUAUACCGAUGAUAUUCGUGAAACAUAUUUUCCUUCCAUUCAUUCAUAACUCCUGUUACAUAAUAAAAGAAUCAUUUAAAGCAAAUUGUUUAGAAAAGCAUGGUCUUGUAAGUCAAGUUGGGUAUAAAUACCUUUUCAAGACUCGGAACAUGAGUUGAGUCAGAAGAACAUGAUAGAUUUUGGCUUCAUACCUCGUGCAUUUCUUGCAUCAACAGUUGAAGGAAGAUUAGAUCUAGGACAUCCUGGUAUAUGCAUCAUCUGUUGUUAUAUGCGGUCACAUAUUUAACCGAAAAAGGG
rnacentral:lncRNA from 1 species